UCAAACCGGAGGAAGGUGGGGAUGACGUCAAGUCCUCAUGGCCUUUAUGACCAGGGCUACACACGUACUACAAUGGCCGGUACAAAGGGCAGCGACACAGCGGAUGUGAAAGCCGAAAUCCCGAAAAGCCGGUCUCAGUCCGGAUUGGAGUCUGCAACUCGACUCCAUGAAGUUGGAAUCGCUAGUAAUCGGCGGAUCAGCACGCCGCGGUGAAUACGUUCCCGGGCCUU
rnacentral:rRNA from 1 species